rnacentral:lncRNA from 7 species
UCAUGAUAAGAAAACAUAAUAGACAUUAAUAAUCUGCUAGCAAUGGGAAGACGACCAUAACGACAUGAACUGAAUUAACCAGUGCGCACGACUAGUUAAAAACAAACAUCCUUUGACAAGAAGUUUCUAAUUAAAUCAUGACUGCGCCUGGGCAGCGUUAUUAUGAGAGUGAAGGUGUAUGUGCUGCUCCUUCCCACUCCCCUUGAUGAGCAACAAGCACCUGCAUUGAGUAAUGCAAGAGUGAGAUGAAACAUCUCAGCAAGCUAAUUGUUUUGACGAGAUAUUUAAACCACAUUGAAUUAAUCAACAUUUUAAAAGAAUCACAAUCAAGAUCAGAAAUACUUGUAGAUAUAGAACUCAGUAGUCACAAUAUAACCAAUACCAUCUCAUUUCCUCGAACAACCACAAUAGGUUGUAUAACAUUUCCCUGCAUCAACAAUACCUGCAAAUAUCACUUCAAUGUAUGCAUAGGAAUGCAAUGUGUAGGUCCUCUAUCUUCAUACCUCUGAGGGUAUAAAACCACAUCAUCUGCAAAUAUCACUUCAAUGUAUGCAUAUGAAUGCAAUGCAUAUGUCCUCUGCCUUCAUACCUCUAAGGGUAUGAAGCCGCAUCGUACCCCUCCUCGGGCAACGUACGAUGCUAAGUUGUACCGGUACGGUCGGACCAUAGGUCACGACAAAACUUCAGAUGCAAAUGAGUCAUGCAAUGUAUAUGGCAUGCUGCAUUUAUCAAUAAAUUUCACUUCCUUUAGAUACAAUACAAACCUCAAAUAAUACUUUAUCUGCCUUCAGAUACAAUGCAAUCCUCAAAUAAUACUUCGUAUGCCUUUAGAUACAAUGCAAACCUCAAAUAAGACUUCAUCUGCCUUCAGGGGUGUGAAUUAAUCUCAUGGGUCAUACUUGAACCAUAAUAAUCAUCAAUAUAUGAUAGAGCAUCAACAUAAUACAAUGAAGUAAAACAUCAUCAUAGAGUUCAAUUAUGAAAGAAUCCAAUAAUUCUGCAUAUUAGAGUGUAGGUGAUAGAAAUAACAGGUCAAAAUGAUAGCAACCACCGCUACAUUCACUUGCCUUCAUCGAAGAAGAAAAAUGUACUAGGCAUGAUCUAGAGUGUAGCCACCUGCUAGCGGGCAUAAAACUUAGUACAAAUAUUUCACAAACAUUUGCCAACAAUCAACAAAACACUCCUACACUUGAAACCAAAACCUAGUGGAAAGACUCCCACCCUGAACCACAUGCUAUACAGCAGCAGCGCUGUUUGUUAAUUUUGUAUCUUUAAAAUUAAAACAUUGGUGAUAUCAAACAAAUACUCUAAGAGUAUCUACACAAAACAAUCUACAACUUCGGUAUUCAAUGGAUAAUUAAAUUCUGCCAUCAAUAUAUUCUAAAACAUCUGACAAGAUAACUGACUGAAUCUGUUUUAGACAGCAGCCUAGUUAACUUCAAAAUUCGAUAUCUCCCAAACUACUGAACCAAAAAUUAUGAAAUUCUGCUGGCAGUAAGAACUUUUAUCCCUCUACAAAAGUCUCCACAGUUGGAAGAGUCAAUUCGGCCAUUUACUAGAUGAAACCCACCAGUGAACAGACCCGCUCAUUUUUGUCAGGCAAACAGGAACAGCCACAGUAAAACAAACAUAACUGGAGUUUGAUAAAUCAUAUGAAUACACUCUUUAACAAUCUGUAAAGCUUAUGAAAUUAUCUACAACUUCUUUUACCAACCCACAGUUUAAUUCUGUUGAUAAAAUUGCCUAACUCUUAAGAUAACAGAUUCUGCACAGAAUUAUGAGACUGAAAAACUGCUAUAAUCAAACUGCAAUAACUUUCUGUUCUGAUGUCCGAUUGAGGUGUUCUUCGUGGCCACGGAAAGAUCUACAAAUUAUCUACGACUCAUAUAUAGACUUUUUAUUUUUUUGAGGCCACUAAGACCACGGAAAACUGACAUGAACAGAAACUGUUGAAUCUGCCAUUCUGCAGAAAUUAAAUUCGAGAUCAAAACCUAACCCCACAUCUAAUCCAACCUCUAAUCCUUCAAUCCACAUGAUCCACAACCUCCAAAAGCAUAUAAUUAUAGGGAGGAACAAGGAUCCUAUCCUUACCUAGGGUUUCCCCAAGAAAAUCUGCAAGAGAUGGGGGUAGAACAUCUCCUUGAUCCUCUCUUCCUCUUCAAUCCAUCUUGCUCCUCCUCUUCUCGAUCCGUGCUGCGUGGGGGGAGAUCUAGAGGGAGGAGGAAGUAGUGGAGGGUGGCUGCAAGGGGAAGGGGGAGGGGCGGCCAAGGGUGG